GGAUGUAGGACUAUAGGUUGGUGAAGUUGGGCUAUAACUUGGUGAAGUUGGACUAUAACCAGGAGAAGUGGGGCUAUAGGCUGGUGAAGUGGGGCUGUACGAUGGAGAAGUAGGGCUGUAUGACGGUGAGGUAGGGCUGUACGAAGGUGAUGUUGGGCUGUAGGAAGGAGAGGUUGGGCUGUACGAUGGUGAGGUGGGGCUGUAUGCAGGUGAGGUGGGGCUAUAUGCAGGUGAGGUGGGGCUAUAUGCCGGUGAGGUGGGGCUAUAGCUUGGUGAAGUUGGACUGUAACUGGGAGAAGUGGGGCUGUAACUUGGAGAGGUCGGGCUGUAGCUUGGGGAUGUUGGGCUGUAACUUGGGGAGGUUGGGCUAUAGCUUGGUGAAGUAGGUGAGUACGAUGGACUGGUAGGAGAAUAGGCAGGACUGGUUGGACUAUAACCAGGAGAACUUGGACUAUAAGUUGGUGAGGUAGGGCUAUAUCCAGGCGAGGUGGGACUGUAUCCAGGCGAAGUUGGGCUGUAUCCAGGUGACGUGGGACUGUAUCCAGGAGAUGACGGACUGUAGCCUGGUGAUGAUGGGCUGUAUCCGGGUGAUGAAGUAGGAGAGAAGGCCAUUCCACCAACAUAAGGAGAAAACUGGGCAUCCGUGACCGGGGACAGACGGAGAUU
rnacentral:lncRNA from 1 species